CGUUACCUGCAGUAUGUAGCCAGAAGAAAUAUAACACCUGAGUGGCCUCCUCCAGAACGUGCACUUUCUUUGGAUUGUGUUAUUAUUCGUGCCAUUCCAAGCUUCGACUCUGAAAAUGGGUGCAGGCCAAUCAUUCGUAUUUUUGNNCCACACAAAGCGUGGGCUUUCGACCCAUAUGCUCUUCUCAAUGUCCAAGAAGAAGAAGGCCACCCUUCGGCAUUAUCGCCAGGCAGAAUGUGAUGUGAUUAAGAUUGACAUUCAGUGUAUGGUGCAAGGAGAUGUUGUAUUGGAGUGUGUGCAUCAGGACUUGGAUCCAGAAAGGGAGGUUAUGAUGUUUCGUGUAAUGUUUAAUACUGCGUUUAUUCGAUCUAAUAUAUUAAUUCUCAAUUCUGAGAACUUGGACAUUCUUUGGGAUUCAA
rnacentral:misc_RNA from 1 species